GGGCCCGCACAAGCGGUGGAUUAUGUGGAUUAAUUCGAUGCAACGCGAAAAAACCUUACCUGGCCUUGACAUGUACCGAAUUUAGCAGAGAUGCUUUAGUGCUCGAAAGAGAACGGUAACACAGGUGCUGCAUGGCUGUCGUCAGCUCGUGUCGUGAGAUGUUGGUUAAGUCCCGCAACGAGCGCAACCCUUGCCAUUAAUUGCCAUCAUUUAGUUGGGCACUUUAAUGGGACUGCCGGUGACAAACCGGAGGAAGGUGGGGAUGACGUCAAGUCCUCAUGGCCCUUAUGGCCAGGGCUUCACACGUAAUACAAUGGUCGGUACAGAGGGAAGCCAACCCGCGAGGGGGAGCC
rnacentral:rRNA from 1 species